ACGUGAUGAGCUGUUGAUCUGCCUGUCUCCCAGCCAAAGAGGCAAGAUGGCUGCGUGGUGCUGAGCCGGGCUGUGACGUCUGUGAGGUGCGAGUCCGUCCAGAGGUCCUGUGUUUCUGGGUUGUCUAACUGUAAACGUAGACCGAGAUCAUGGCCGGACUGGGGCCUCAGAACCUGUUGGCCUAUGUGGAAGAGGGCAACAUUGCUGUUCUGAAAACUCUGUUGGA